CAGAACUCCUCCUGGGUACUGCAUGCAGAAUGCUCCUGGGGCAGCCCAUCCCCAAGAUUAGCCAGAUGUGAUAUGGAGAUACCGGUGACGUGGAGAAGUCGUGCUGUUGGCAGCGUGAGAUGGCAGGAGGAGAACUGUGGGCUAGGACAAGGAACGGAGUUGGAGCACUCAGUCCUGCAUCUCCUGUAUCCACCCACACUCUCAGGCAGAAGGCACAAAGAGGAGCUGUUCAGAAGAAGAACAAAACAAAGCCAACCGAGGUACAGAUUUUUUAAUAUACUUAUCCCACCUUGCCUCCUUAAUCCUUCAUAGUUUCAGUACAAUUGGCUCUUUCUCAGUAUUGUACAUCUUUUGCACAGUUAACUUAGACGUUGAACAAAAGGAGCUGUAAAGUCUGCCUUUGGCUGGUGGAGAUGGGCUCUGAGCCUCUACUGAUGCAGACUUUCAUUGAGAGCUGCUCGGAAGACCUCAUUAUGAACACUCCACCUUAAAUCCUGCUCUUCUCUGCUUCCCUCUUGCCCUGCUCACAGGGCUCUCCAGGGCGUCAAUAGGAAAUGUGAAUCAUUGAAUCGCUAAGGUUGGAAAAGACCUCUAAGGUCCUCUAGUCCAAUCGUCCACCUACCACCAUGACUACCCAUGAAGCCAUGUCUCUCACUGCCACAUCUCCAUGGUUUCUAAACACCUCCAGGGAUGGUGACUUCACCCCCGCCCUGAGCAGCCUGUGCCAAUGCCUCACCACUCUUUCAGAGAAGCUUUUCCUAAUGUCCAACCUGACAGCAGGGAUGCCAGGGUGCUUCAUUUUCCCCAUCACAAUGAGAGUGACGUGACCGCACUCCUCCUGCUCUGCCUGUGUGCCUUCGCCGUGCCAGAGGUUCUUAAUGAUCCCAAAUCAGCUUGUUUGACAGUAUAUUAAUUGGGCAAUUCCUCUGAGAUGUUCAAGUAUGCAACGUUUGUGAAUGCUUGUCAAUUAACUUUUUCCUGUCAAGGACUAAUGACUCUAAAUAACACCUUGAGCACUGCACUGCAUCUUUCCCGUGCUGGGUCAGGCUCUAUUGCUGCAAAUACACCUGAGAAGAUUAAGUCUGCAAUGCUAAGCGUCAGAGCUAUUAAUAUUUAUACAAUGGGCAGAAUUCAUAUCAAAUCUGUCAGGCAGAAUCUGUCACCAUGGUGUUUCUGAAAGGUUACCAGCCUCGAGAUGUCUGUUUCUCAUUUAUAAACUGGUUUUAAGAUGAAUCACUUUACAGUUGGAGUCUUAGUCCACAGGUAAGCUGCCUGAUUCAUCAUUGAAAUCGUUUCUGGUGUACACAUGCUACGUGAGGAGGGAAAAACAGUGUGUAAGAAAAUCAUCCAGGAGAUGCAUUUUGGAGAGCAGACUCCCUCAGGUAUGUCGUGCCCUCCCCUUGCUGCUGCAGCUCCGUGCAGUGUGCAGGUGCUGUGCAAGUCAUGCAGGCAAUACUGAUGCUGCCCAUUUUCUGUUUUUGCAGAGGUUCCUAAGCUGUUUUCGCUCCAGAAGCAGGGUGAGAAAGUGUUCAGUGUCCAGAGGGCUCUGUGAUGCCCAGGCACCACGUUUGCUCUGCCAGCAGUGGGUAGGAGGAGCACGUACAUAAGCCAUGUCACUACUGCUGCUGCAAACAUCAGGCUUGCUCUCUCAUUUACUCUCUUCUGUUUGAGUGGAAAAUGAAGAUAACGUUGAUAAAAGCAAGCCUGGCAUUAGCACUGAUACCUUACGUAAGUGCUACCUCUCUUUUGUAAUCUGUUUGCUCUGUUACAUAAAUUUGUUUUGCUCCUUUAUUCCCACUGACCAACAAAAAAUGAUGCUUUUCCUUCAAAUGGGAAAUUAGUUGUAUAGUAAAAAUAUUUACUGAGGCAUAGAGGUGCUGAUCCAUUUCCUGUUUGAGUCAAUAGAUAGCCUGUUAUUGAUUUCAGUGUUUUUUUGAGUCAGGCUCCAUGUUUUGUCUAUUUUUCGGUCGGUGAAUUUGCUGCUUAUGGGUGCUUUAUAAGGGAUAAUGGUCACCACGUCUGCGUCUUCUUGAGAGGAAUAGGAGCAUAACACAGAGUAAAAGUGAUCAUUUCAUAAGCUGAUAAUGUGUCAUUUUGAUGGGAUGAGAGGGAAUGGCCUCAGGUUGCACCAGGGGAGGUUCAGGUUGGAUGUUAGGGAAAAUUUCUUUGCCAAAGGAGUGGUGAUGCAGUGGCACAGCUGCCCAGGGAGGUGGUGCGGUCACUGUUCCUGGAGGUGUUCAAGCAACGUGUAGAUGUGGCACUGAGAGACAUGGUGCAGUGAGCAAUGUUGGUGGUGGGUGAACGAUCAGACUGGAUGAUCUUAGAGGUCUUUUCCAACCUGCAUGAAUCUAUGAUUAGAAUACAAAGCUGUGGGCUAUGUUUGGUAGGUAACAUCACUUUAUCUUGAAGGUCUACCUGUAUGAUGGCUGAGCGUCUCUUGGCAUUUUUCAUCCGUCGUGUAAUAGCUGCCAAUUUCUUUAAAACCUGAUGCAACGUGACAUUUAUGUCACAUCUGAUCUGCUUACAUUGUUUUAUGUCGUGUCAACUGAUGCGAUGUAACCAGACAUAGCCUAAUAGCCAGUGAUGUGCAAAACAGGCAACUUUUUUUCUUGUUGUGCUUGGACCAGGGUAAGACAUCACAAAAGGCAACAUAAUCUUUGACUGCAUGGAUGUGACAUUGUCACGUUAUCGGGGAAGAGUGACUGCAGGACUAUGUGUGACCCCAUCAUAGUACCCAUCUGAACAGGCAGCUCAGCUUCAUCCUCAGAAAUGACAACGAAGCACGUGAAAUCUCCUUAAUGGCGUUGGUGAUUCCCUGUUCUCAGGGGUCAGCUUCAGUUGUUACCAAGGUGUUGUGGACGAGUUCAGCGAAUGCUUUAUAGUUGGCUGUCUGCCUGAGUGAACGAGUGUGGAAAAAGGGAAAGUGUGCUAAGAGACCACAUUGCUGAGCAAUGGAGCUGCAGCAGAAAUCUGCAGAGAGAUAGAGGCAGGAGGUCCUGCUGGUGUUUCUGACCCCAGCAAGAGUCAUGCAUGCUUGGGCUCCUUUGAGCACAGUGCAAUUUGGAGGUGUUGUGCUUAAGUUUCUCUGUGUGCAAUCCACAUCCAUGUGUUUGGGGGGACAAAGUGCACCCCACCUGUUGGGUGGCAGCGCUGUGUGUGGGCAUGUCAUGGCAUUAGGAGCCCUCACUAGGUGAGAAUGCAAAGGUGAUGUGUUCUGUUCAGUUGCUUUUUCAAAGUUGACUCACAGUGUGUCUGAAUGCCCAAACUCACAAGCACAGUAUUUAUUGUAUCCAGUUGCAUUUCUGUUGGGCUUUUCCUCCUUUACGUGAUGGGUUCCGAGCAGCCAGCUGACACAUGUUACCUGAAUGGUGACAAACACUGUAAAUAUUCCACUUUCUGCAAGAUGAAAUACAGUUGGUGGAAAAAAAAUCUUUAAGCAGGCUCUAUAGGUGCAGCGUUGAGUGAACUAUUUAUGGCUGUAUGAUAAAUAAAGCUAGGAAAGAUAUUUGUCAGAAAGCAGUGGGCCAGCUAAGUUAUAUUUGGUUUGAAAAGGCACUUAGGAACACUCAAAGAAAAUCAGCAUAGGUGAGGAAGGAGGAGUGGCUGCUGCUUACCCAAGUUAACUCUCAGCCUGGAUGCAGGCAAAACUCACUGCUAAAUGUGGAGGGGACCAGGACUAGAGAAGCUGCCAUCAGUUGCAGCAUCCAAAGCCAAGCCAGGAGACUGGCACAUCUGCUCCUUUGCUCAGCAUUGUUAUCCUAAAUUGAUUGCAUCGAAGCGCAUCUGCAGCGCUGUCACCAGCACUCUGCUGGACAGCUUCAUCUGCUGAGCAGCUGGCUUUCCUUCAUGAGACAUGACAAUAUUUUAUUAGACCAGCAAAUGGUACUUGAUAAAACGAGUCUUAGCAGUGUUUUAAGAAAAUAAAAUAAGCUAAAAGCAUCAACCAUGCUGGGAAUUUCGUGCACAGGCGAUACAGGGCAGUGUGUCCACAUGGGGCUUGCCUCCCUUCUCUUGUGCCUCUGUGCAUCUUGGUCAGUACAUAGAUUUCCUACAGUUGAUGCCAUCCCCCUCCCAAAAGCUGCCAAAAGCAGAGGAGGGGCAAAUAUUUUCUUCUUUCUCCCCUGGUCUGAGCUGCACACACAUCUAUACACCCAAAGUCAGCAAGAGGGAAAUCAACUGUAUUAGCAGUGCUGAUCCGAUUAGGCUGGCAGCAGAGCACAGACAAACACAAGCCCUUCCCACCAGCCAUUAUGAUGUCAGGAAAAUCUCUGUGACACUGCAAAGGUCCUUUGUAUUUCGGUUAGUUGCUUUCCCAGAACAAGCAAUGUUUCAUUUUAAUGUACUGCUCAUUACUUUUUUUUCUAUUAUUUUGAAAGUUAUAGGAGUUGUGAUAGCAUUUAAAUGGCAAGAGGUGGCUGAACUGCACCAGCAGCAACUUGCGAGCCCUGCUCAGCCCCUGGCAUUUUGGGAGGACCCUCAUUAUCCACACUGCUCAGCUCUUCCCAACAAGAUCACUUCUGUAGCUUCCUCCCAGGGACUUAUUUUCUUCCCUGGCACUAUCCUGUGCUUUCUGUAACUCCAGCAACCCUCGUGUGCAGAUGCAGUUUGAUCCGGGCAAGGAUUGUAGUGCGCUAUGAAACAAAUCGGUUUGUUCUGAUUCCUCCUUACUGAGAAAAGGCUCACAGCUCCGAGGUGGCUGCUGAGCAGUGUGUGGGGCACAGCCAGCACAGGGCUUGGAAAUUACAAACAGCCAUCAGAUAAGUAUGCUCAGUAAACUGCUUUUAACUGCAUUUUGCUAACAGCGGCGAAAGAUUCCGACUACUGUGGAUUUCAGCUUUCUUGGCCAUUUGCAGACAUACAAAUAUCUCCCUCUG
ensembl:lncRNA